GGCAAAUGUUAAAAUGGCAUAUAUUAAAAAUGGAAUGAUACAGAGCAGAUUAGCCUGGCCCCUGAAAAUGGGUAACACACAUUCAUGAAGCUUUCCAUAGUCUU
ensembl:snRNA U6 U6 spliceosomal RNA